CAAAUUCUCUGUUAUCUCUUGAGAUCAAAAAAAAAAAAGAAGCCCUAAUCUCACUGCUCUCUCCCUCCCUCUCACUCACCCAGUCGUCACGCUAUCUCUCUGGCGGGGGCUGCGACGACGAGAGGAGACGGUUGUGAAAUCUGGAUGCCUGCGACGAGGUUUGAUAAAUUAGCCUCUAACCUUCUCUUUCCCCCUCUCUCCCUCCCUCCUUCCUAUAUCCUUUGGAUCCCACGUUUCUGAACCUGCGCUCCUCUUCGCGAACACCUUCUGCUUCAUUCUCUGGAUUUCUGAGGUACUUUCACAUCUGGGUUUCUCUUAAUUUUGUUUGGUUUACUUUCAAUCUUUUAAAUUGAAAGUAAAGAGAGGGUUUGAAGGGGAAGGGUUUCAAACGGUGAUCUCUCUUCAACGGCGAGACAGUUCGAUGGUACAACAAAACUGGUUCGGUGGUGGCAACGAUCGACGAGACUGGCAGCAGGUGAAUGGUUUACAGCCCGAGUCUCUGCUUGUGGACUAUUUCAUAUUGCUUACCCUAGUGCCUCAGAGAUGUUAAAGACAGAAUUACGGUCAAUAUACAGCCAGUUGUGUCAGGAUGACAUGCCUAUGGUGAGGAGGUCUGCUGCAACAAACUUGGGGAAGUUUGCUGCAACUGUUGAACCUGCUCAUCUCAAGACUGACGUCAUGUCAAUAUUUGAGGAUCUUACACAGGAUGGUAAGUGCUUUUUUAUACGCUAGGCCACAACAGUCUUAAUUUUCCAACUUAUGAUCAGGUACAUAUUGAGGGAUGCAUGGAUUGGUCCAACUGUGAUAAACAUUUGGCAAGCUUUAGUUAGCAGAUUGCCAACCUCUAGCAGCGGAGGUGAUUUUUUACCCAUGCUUGGAACAUUCAAAGCUGGAAUAUUUAUUGGAACCAUAUGAUAAGGGUGGAUGUGAUGAAUUAGGACCACAAUAACUGAAUAUGUAACUGUAGUAGGCAAUCUAAAUGUGGAUGAGAUGAAGAAUGGGGAAGAGGGAAUGGAUAGUUGUAUUGUAGGUGUAGAUGCCAGCUAGCUCAGACGGUGAAAUCUUCACAAAGAAAAACCAGCAAAUAUCCCAAGAUGCACAAAAUAGAUAAAAUCGUACUAAUAAGUAUUUGGACUCAAGAAAUGAAGGUUUAUUAGUCUAUAGCCGAAGACCUGGGUUGCAUUGUUAAAAGAAACUGAAAAUUGAAGCUUAACAGAAAGUAAAAGAUUAUCAAUGGAAAAUUGUUGCUUUUGGUAACAUGCAAAAUCAAGUGGGUAAUACCAAAGCUUGUUGAGAAAGCUAUUAGCCUCAGAGAAAACGUGAAAGCUGCACGAACCGAAACAACUAAGCAGUUAAGGCUCUGAUUAUUCACAUUUUCAUUUUCUCCGCAUGUAUUGGUUAGACAAUGUUGCCAGUGAGCUUCAUAUAGAAUUCUUAAUUUGUUUCCUGUAGUGGGUGUGAUCUUGUUUUCUUGUUAUCGUGCUUUGCAUUACAAUAUGCUAGCACUGUAGUACUCUCUCUUCCUUUCUUUGAUUUGUCAAUUUUUAUUUGCACAAUAGAGAAUAAAUCUUUUUCAUUCUGCAUCUUUCAACCAUUAAUCACUAAUGCCAGCUAUUUGGAAUUAUGAUGCAGCUGGUGCAUAAAAGCAUGGAACUUCAUGAUUGAUCAUUCUGGUUUUCUCUGUGACAUAAAACAAUGGGUCUUAAGAUUUUUAUAUUCAAUUUUUUACCCUUCCUGGAGUGUAUAUUCUCUUGUUACUUCUAUCAUUUGCUAUCUAUGUUUGAUUUGCACACAUCAAGGCAUUUUUAUUUCUUUAUGGUCAUUCCAUAUUCACAAACCCUCGGAGUUUGAAUGGCAUUGAUUAGUUGAAGGAUGAUGGUUGACUUCUGUAUGUGGUCACCUGGGUGACAGUUGGGGAACUUAGUUCCACUGCUUGGGUUAACCUGGGCAAUUUGUCGAACAUGAUGAGAACAUGUGUUUUCUUUUUUAUGAAAAAUUUCCAUAUUGAGACGCUCCAAUUCAUUUUGCUUUUUGUUUCCGUAGGCUAAAAAAAUGUCGAUGACUAGAAAAAGAAAACUGUUGAGGUUCGAUCUUCUGCUUGGGAAAUUUCAGAGGCAGCGAAAGCAUUUCUGAGUAAAUUAUAACAAUAAUUAUUUUGUUCUAAUCCAACUCCUUUUUUUUUCCUAGUCCAGUUGAUGGGCUUUGAAGAACAUUAGGGGUUUGAAGAACAUUAGAAAUUCACUUGGUUGAGUUUAUUUUUUAGUUUAUUGUUGACAGAAUUCACUCGGACUUGAGUUGGUUACUUGUUCAAUGUAGUCAGAUUUUUGGAAGGAAUAUCAUAAAUUGUGACCUGCCAAAUUGUCAAUCCACUCUUUGAAGAUUUCAAAACUUAACUGAAUUCAUUUAUGAAAUCUUUGUUUAUUUGAGUGGGACUCUUUAUUUUUAGUAUUCCGAUUUUACAUUACUAGUGUUUUGAUUAAACCAAGCUAGUUUUUAAUCUAGCUUGUUCAGAACACCUCUUAUUCCAAUAUUUAUUGUUCUUGAUUGCACUUGUCAAGUGUGUUUUGGUAUGUUAACUAUGGUGAAAUGUUUUUGCAGCUAUUUAAUAUCAGCGAGGAAGUAGUAAUUGAUGCUACAAAUAAAGGAAAUGUACAACCCUUUUGAGAACGUGAUGAUAUCUUCGCAUAUCGAUAUUAGAGUUUACAAUCUUAUUUAUUUAUU